UACGAAUUAAUAAUGAGAGGUUUCUUCUAAUUAUUUCCAAUGGAUCAAAACUCAAAGGUCAAACAAAAAUCACAAUGUUCACUGCUUAAAUAAUGAUACAAUAUUCUACAUCACUGAUUAUCGGCAGUAAUUAAGCUUUUAUACAAUUUAUUUUAUGGCUAUUUAUUAUACUUAUUUCUUUUUUAUGUAGUCAUUAACUCUCACCUAAUUAGUAACUACUUACUAUUCUUUUAAAAGAAUAAAAAAAACUGUGUAUAUGCAAAGAUAGAGAGAGAUAGAAGUCUUUAGUAAUCACUUACUUGUUCAUAUUUAAUUUUCUUUCAUAGAAAUAAUAUAUUUCAUUGGAUAAAAUGAGUUACAAAGCAUAAGCCUACAUAAAAUGAACUACUAUAAUAAACCCAAACCUAGAAAUUAAAGAUUUAAUUUCAAAAAAAAUCCUAGAUUAAAUUAGUCAAAUCGGAUUAACCAAACUUCAUCAGUUACCAACCUCAACAUCACCUUCUCAACCUCCCAUUACCGGCCAAUACUUGCUCUGAAGAGUUAUACAACAACCCACUAGUGGACAGGGGACCAACUUCAAUAUGCAGUCUCCCUUUUAUAUUCAACAAAAGUCUCAUCCUAAAUAGAGAAACUAAAAAAAAACUCUAUAUUGGAGACUCUAGAAAAAACUAGAAGAACACAAAUAAAAAGUUAAACUACUUUAAGAAAUGAGGGGCCACAAGCGGCUGGGCCUGUUGAAAAACCUUGCCAAGAUUGUGUUGGAAAGCAGGAGGAGCGUUUUUUGUUUAGAGAGAAAAAAAAAAUGAAUUAACCCAUAUUUAAAUUUUUUUUGUUUUGUUUAAUUUAUUGAUUAUAAAUUUAAGAGUUCUUUUCUUAAAUUUAUUAUGCGAGUAUUUUAAUUUAUUUACAUCUUGUUUAGUGUCAAAUUUUUUUGCUUUGCUUCUGAUUAGGGAUAGUUGGAAGAUUAUUAUUAUUAUUAUCAUUAUUGUUAUCAUGGCAAUGAACCUUGUAUCUAUUAUUGUGUGCGGAUUGAUGUUCUCUAGUAUUAACUAUAAAGAAAGAACAAUAGAAAGUGAGAGCAAUGAAGAGAGUGCAAUGAUGAAAAAGGAGAGGCAGAGAGAGGAAAGGGAAAGAAGAAAAAAAUUAUGUGGAGAUUGAGAGAGAAAUUCAGAGGAACAUAUAAAUAGAGAAGGGUGAAGAAAGAUGAAGAGAGAUCAAAUAAA
rnacentral:misc_RNA from 1 species